GCCAGGCAUGGUAGCACAUGCCUGUAGUCCCAGCUACUUGGGAGGCUGAGACAGGAGAAUCACUUGAACCCAGGAGGCGGGGGUUGCAGUGAGCCGAGAUCUCACCACUGCAUUCCAGCCUGGGUGACAGAGUGAGACUCUGUCUCAA
rfam:Pan troglodytes isolate Yerkes chimp pedigree #C0471 (Clint) chromosome 7, whole genome shotgun sequence.